rnacentral:rRNA from 1 species
AUAUCUCGCUCAUGCAUCGAUGAAGAACGUAACCAAAUGCGAUACUUGGUGUGAAUUGCAGAAUCCCGUGAACCAUCGAGUUUUUGAACGCAAGUUGCGCCCGAAGCCAUUCGGCUGAGGGCACGUCUGCCUGGGCGUCACGC